CCGAGGGGUGUGUAGGCAAGUGAUGGGGUGACGCAGUGGGGUAGCUCUACCCGGCGGUGGUUGUCCGGGGGUAAGCGUGUAGCCCGGGGUGGUGGUAAAUCCCUGCCCUGUUGUGGGUGAGGCGUGAUGCCGAGCCGUUUUUGGUGAAGUGAGUGAUCCCGUGCUGUCGAGAAAAGCCUCUAGCGAGUGCGUGUGCGGCCAGUACCCGAAACCGACGCAGGUGGUCAGGUAGAGUAUACCGAGGCGUUCGGGUGAUCCGUGGUUAAGGAACUCGGCAAAUUGUCCCCGUAACUUUGGGAGAAGGGGAGCCCUGUCCGGUGAUCAGGUUUUCCCUGUGAGCUGGGUGGGGUCGCAGAUAGCAGGGGGAAGCGACUGUUUAUUAAAAACACAGGUCCGUGCGAAGUCGUAAGACGCUGUAUACGGACUGACGCCUGCCCGGUGCUGGAACGUUAAGAGGACUGGUUAGCGCCUUUUGGGGUGUGAAGCUGGGAAUCUAAGCGCCAGUAAACGGCGGUGGUAACUAUAACCAUCCUAAGGUAGCGAAAUUCCUUGUCGGGUAAGUUCCGACCUGCACGAAUGGCGUAACGACUUCCCCGCUGUCUCAACCGCGGGCCCGGUGAAAUUGCAGUACGAGUAAAGAUGCUCGUUUCGCGCAGCAGGACGGAAAGACCCCGGGACCUUCACUAUAGCUUGACAUUGGUGUUUGGGAUGGUUUGUGUAGGAUAGGUGGGAGCCGGUGAAGCUGUCACGCUAGUGGCGGUGGAGGCGUUGGUGAAAUACCACUCUGGCUGUUUCGGGCAUCUAACCUUGGGCCGUGAUCCGGUUCGGGGACAGUGUCUGGUGGGUAGUUUAACUGGGGCGGUUGCCUCCUAAAGGGUAACGGAGGCGCCCAAAGGUUCCCUCGGCCUGGUUGGCAAUCAGGUGGUGAGUGUAAGUGCACAAGGGAGCUUGACUGUGAGACGGACGUGUCGAGCAGGUGCGAAAGCAGGGACUAGUGAUCCGGCGCCGGCGUGUGGAAGCGGCGUCGCUCAACGGCUAAAAGGUACCCCGGGGAUAACAGGCUGAUCUUCCCCAAGAGUCCGUAUCGACGGGAUGGUUUGGCACCUCGAUGUCGGCUCGUCGCAUCCUGGGGCUGGAGUUGGUCCCAAGGGUUGGGCUGUUCGCCCAUUAAAGCGGCACGCGAGCUGGGUUUAGAACGUCGUGAGACAGUUCGGUCCCUAUCCGCUGCGCGCGUUGGAGACUUGUGGAGGGCUGUCCCUAGUACGAGAGGACCGGGACGGACGAACCGCUGGUGUGCCAGUUGUUCCGCCAGGGGCAUGGCUGGUUGGCUACGUUCGGGAGAGAUAACCGCUGAAAGCAUCUAAGUGGGAAGCUUGCUUCGAGAUGAGGUCUCCUGCCCUGUGGUGGGGGUAAGGCCGCCAGGUGAUGACUGGGUUGAUAGGCCGGGUGUGGAAGCCUUGUGAGGGGUGGAGCUGACCGGUACUAAUAGGCCGAGGGCUUGUCCGC
rnacentral:rRNA from 1 species